rnacentral:rRNA from 1 species
GACGAACGCUGGCGGCGUGCUUAACACAUGCAAGUCGAACGGAAAGGCCCUGCUUGCAGGGUACUCGAGUGGCGAACGGGUGAGUAACACGUGGGUGAUCUGCCCUGCACUUCGGGAUAAGCCUGGUAAACUGGGUCUAAUACCGGAUAGGAGCCAUUUUUAGUGUGAUGGUUGGAAAGUUUUUUCGGUGUAGGAUGAGCUCGCGGCCUAUCAGCUUGUUGGUGGGGUAAUGGCCUACCAAGGCGGCGACGGGUAGCCGGCCUGAGAGGGUGGACGGCCACACUGGGACUGAGAUACGGCCCAGACUCCUACGGGAGGCAGCAGUGGGGAAUAUUGCACAAUGGGCGCAAGCCUGAUGCAGCGACGCCGCGUGGGGGAUGACGGCCUUAGGGUUGUAAACUCAUUUCGCUAGGGACGAAGCUUUUUGUGACGGUACCUAGAUAAGAAGCACCGGCUAACUACGUG